rnacentral:rRNA from 1 species
GACCUGCAGGCGGCCGCGAAUUCACUAGUGAUUAGAGUUUGAUCAUGGCUCAGGAUGAACGCUGGCGGCGUGCUUUACACAUGCAAGUCGAGCGGCAGCGCGGGGGCAACCCUGGCGGCGAGCGGCGAACGGGUGAGUAAUGCAUCGGAACGUGUCCCGUAGUGGGGGAUAACCCGGCGAAAGCCGGACUAAUACCGCAUAUGCUCUACGGAGGAAAGUGGGGGAUCCGCAAGGACCUCACGCUAUGGGAGCGGCCGAUGUCCGAUUAGCUAGUUGGUGAGGUAAAGGCUCACCAAGGCGAUGAUCGGUAGCUGGUCUGAGAGGAUGAUCAGCCACACUGGGACUGAGACACGGCCCAGACUCCUACGGGAGGCAGCAGUGGGGAAUUUUGGACAAUGGGGGCAACCCUGAUCCAGCCAUUCCGCGUGAGUGAAGAAGGCCUUCGGGUUGUAAAGCUCUUUGUCCGGAACGAAACGUGAACGUGAAUAUCGUUCGCUACUGACGGUACCGGAAGAAUAAGCACCGCUAACUACGUGCCAGCAGCCGCGGUAUACGAAUCGA